rnacentral:lncRNA from 1 species
AACCACAGAAUCCGUGGUUUGAAAAAAUGUACUGUGCACCUAAAGGGAAAACCACUUGGAAAACAAGAAGUCAUUCUGAGGCAGGACAGAAAGACUGGGAGAUUUGAGGGACACGAGACAGGUUGGAGCCAGCUGAGAAGCAGGAAUCCCAAGCACAGAACAACAUUCGCUGUGAAGGCUGUGGGAAAAUCUCUUGUGCGCAUAUAUAUCAUUCCCUUCUUUCCUGAUGACUAUGUUCCUAAAUCUCCUCUUCAAGGGCAGAAUUCUUUAGAGAUGAAAAGAAAAAUGCAGACUCUCCAGGCCGCCUUCUCUGGAGAACAGCCGGCUACAGUCCACUUGCUGAAUUCCAGACUGUGCAUUUCACUCCCACCUCUGUGGAUCCUGAAGAAUUCAGGGAAGGAGUUACAAUGUUUCUACCUCUCAGGACAGAAGGGGGUCCCUGAACAAAUGCUGGUGGUGUAACCAAGCCUUUGAUCUCUGCGUGCUAGUCCCUGUCAGGGACAACUAUGAGACCUCAGUUCAUUAGUUCAAAUGUACAGAAAGAGCUUUAAAACGAUUUCUGUUUCAAAAAUUCUAUGGAACUCUUAUUAUCCUGGCAAAAUUAAAGCAAAAAAGGGAAAUUGAUGAUUAUCCAAAUACAUUUAAAAUAUACUGGCCUGGACAAGACAUUUGUAUAGGAAAAAUGGAAUAAUAUUUCAGAGUCUGAACCCUUUCUGAGAAUUACAGUAUUUUGGCAGUCAAAUAUGCCAAUAGACAUGCCUGGGCAAAUACUGGGGGAUUUAAAUAUCUAGGAUUUCUCAUUAUCUCACUAUCCUCCUUGCCUAUUUAUGCUGUUGAUGCUUUUUCUUUUUGAAACAAAGUCUCACUCCACUCAGUGUACCAAGCUGGCCUUAAACUCAAUUCACU